GAUUUCUGAGAUCUUUAGCAAUCUGCUAAUUGGAUUGAGAUGAAAUUUAUGUAUGUGGAUAGUAGACUUGAUUUUUAACAUAUAUGUGAAUUUUAAAAGAUAUUUAAUAAUAGAAUUAAGAAAUUUUGGCUUAGAAAGAUUGACAUCAAGAUUGGAAAAGGAGUUAAGCUAAUACCAAAGUAUAUUUUAUGAUUUAUCUUUUAUUUGAUAAGUUUGACUUUCUUAAAAAAAAAUUU
rnacentral:lncRNA from 1 species